ACUCAGGUGUUGUUGGGUAGGGGAGCGUUCUGUAAGCCUGUGAAGGUGGCCUGUGAGGGUUGCUGGAGGUAUCAGAAGUGCGAAUGCUGACAUAAGUAACGAUAAAGCGGGUGAAAAGCCCGCUCGCCGGAAGACCAAGGGUUCCUGUCCAACGUUAAUCGGGGCAGGGUGAGUCGACCCCUAAGGCGAGGCCGAAAGGCGUAGUCGAUGGGAAACGGGUUAAUAUUCCCGUACUUGGUGUUACUGCGAAGGGGGGACGGAGAAGGCUAUGUUGGCCGGGCGACGGUUGUCCCGGUUUAAGCGUAUAGGUGUGUGUUCCAGGUAAAUCCGGUUCACUUUAACACUGAGGCGUGAUGACGAGGCGCUACGGUGCUGAAGCAACAAAUGCCCUGCUUCCAGGAAAAGCCUCUAAGCAUCAGGUAACAUCAAAUCGUACCCCAAACCGACACAGGUGGUCAGGUAGAGAAUACCAAGGCGCUUGAGAGAACUCGGGUGAAGGAACUAGGCAAAAUGGUGCCGUAACUUCGGGAGAAGGCACGCUGACAUGUAGGUGAAGUGAUUUACUCAUGGAGCUGAAGUCAGUCGAAGAUACCAGCUGGCUGCAACUGUUUAUUAAAAACACAGCACUGUGCAAACACGAAAGUGGACGUAUACGGUGUGACGCCUGCCCGGUGCCGGAAGGUUAAUUGAUGGGGUCAGCGCAAGCGAAGCUCCUGAUCGAAGCCCCGGUAAACGGCGGCCGUAACUAUAACGGUCCUAAGGUAGCGAAAUUCCUUGUCGGGUAAGUUCCGACCUGCACGAAUGGCGUAAUGAUGGCCAGGCUGUCUCCACCCGAGACUCAGUGAAAUUGAACUCGCUGUGAAGAUGCAGUGUACCCGCGGCAAGACGGAAAGACCCCGUGAACCUUUACUAUAGCUUGACACUGAACAUUGAGCCUUGAUGUGUAGGAUAGGUGGGAGGCUUUGAAGUGUGGACGCCAGUCUGCAUGGAGCCGACCUUGAAAUACCACCCUUUAAUGUUU
rnacentral:rRNA from 1 species